rnacentral:sRNA from 1 species
CCGCGCCCCUAGAACGCUUUGCGUCCCGACGCCCGCAGGUCCUCGCGGUCCGCACCGUUUGCGACUUGGUACUUGGAAAAAUGGACAAGGCUUGUGAAAUGAAACACACCACACUGGACAGCCCUUUGGGGAAGCUGGAGCUGUCUGGUUGUGAGCAGGGUCUGCACGAAAUAAAGCUCCUGGGCAAGGGGACGUCUGCAGCUGAGCCCCUUCUGGUUCUCCCGUGCCUCGGUGUGAUCGUUAGGAGGAUGGAUCAUCCCGGUGCUAUCGGGAACGCACUGCGUUAAUGGCCUCAGUGCCCAGCAAUGGAGAACUUUCCACUGAGUAUCCGCACGCAGCGUGCCCGGCGGAAGGUGAAAGCUUCACCCUUUGUCUCCCUUGCCAUCCUUUGGCCUUGUGUGUUUGGAAGUAGCCAGAGGUGGUGGAACAGUGGUGGGCUGGUUUGGGUCUUGUUGGCAGUGCCAAAGGGACAAAGGCUGGAUGUGGGCACGACCUCAGCCUCGUGAUGGGCAAGACAGGUGGGGGUGACUUUCUGUUCUGAAAAUGACCCCCUCCCCUUCUUCCUCCCCUCAAGCUUCCUACCUUUCCU